CUUGGAAAUUGAAAAAAGGAAGUCCUACUCCAGUAUUAUAAAUGACAACCCACCCAUGGAGUUACCCGAAUCCUGGAAAUGGUGCGCGGUCCAUAACUUAUAACAAGACUCUGUGCGCAGUACUUGGUAUGCAUAUUGGGUCUAAGGACGUUGUUAUACUCGCGCCAGACCUGCCAUAUCCUAUGUCUUCCAAGAAUAACGUGGCACCUUGUACCAUAUAUUUAAUUCGUCUUUGUCAUUGCUGUGGUGUGUAUUAUUCAUAACAUUUGCUCUGUUCAAUUAUGUAUAUUUGUCUUUACGGUAUGCUUUCUC
rnacentral:lncRNA from 1 species